UCAUGAGGACGCCAAAUGCUAAAAAUGGA
rnacentral:piRNA from 1 species